rnacentral:rRNA from 1 species
AUUGAACGCUGGCGGCAUGCCUUACACAUGCAAGUCGAACGGUAACAGGUCUUCGGAUGCUGACGAGUGGCGAACGGGUGAGUAAUACAUCGGAACGUGCCUAGUAGUGGGGGAUAACUACUCGAAAGAGUGGCUAAUACCGCAUGAGAUCUACGGAUGCAAGCAGGGGAUCGAAAGACCUUGUGCUACUAGAGCGGCCGAUGGCAGAUUAGGUAGUUGGUGGGAUAAAAGCUUACCAAGCCGACGAUCUGUAGCUGGUCUGAGAGGACGAUCAGCCACACUGGGACUGAGACACGGCCCAGACUCCUACGGGAGGCAGCAGUGGGGAAUUUUGGACAAUGGGCGCAAGCCUGAUCCAGCAAUGCCGCGUGCAGGAUGAAGGCCUUCGGGUUGUAAACUGCUUUUGUACGGAACGAAAAGCCCUGGGUUAAUACCCUGGGGUCAUGACGGUACCGUAAGAGUAAGCACCGGCUAACUACGUGCCAGCCGCCGCCGUAACAC